rnacentral:rRNA from 1 species
GUGGGGAAUUGUUCACAAUGGGCGCAAGCCUGAUGACGCAACGCCGCGUGGAGGAUGAAGGUCUUCGGAUUGUAAACUCCUGUUGCCAGGGACGAAAAGCUCCGACCCAAUACGUCGGAGUCUGACGGUACCUGGUGAGGAAGCCCCGGCUAACUCUGUGCCAGCAGCCGCGGUAAUACAGAGGGGGCAAGCGUUGUUCGGAAUUACUGGGCGUAAAGGGCGCGUAGGCGGCCUGUUAAGUCGAACGUGAAAUCCCCGGGCUCAACCCGGGAACUGCGUCCGAUACUGGCAGGCUUGAAUCCGGGAGAGGGAUGUGGAAUUCCAGGUGUAGCGGUGAAAUGCGUAGAUAUCUGGAGGAACACCGGUGGCGAAGGCGGCAUCCUGGACCGGUAUUGACGCUGAGGCGCGAAAGCCAGGGGAGCAAACGGGAUUAGAAACCCGGGUAGUCC